GACGAACGCUGGCGGCGUGCUUAACACAUGCCAGUCGAACGGAAAGGCCCUGCUUUUGUGGGGUGCUCGAGUGGCGAACGGGUGAGUAACACGUGAGUAACCUGCCCUUGACUUUGGGAUAACUUCAGGAAACUGGGGCUAAUACCGGAUAGGAGCUCCUGCUGCAUGGUGGGGGUUGGAAAGUUUCGGCGGUUGGGGAUGGACUCGCGGCUUAUCAGCUUGUUGGUGGGGUAGUGGCUUACCAAGGCUUUGACGGGUAGCCGGCCUGAGAGGGUGACCGGCCACAUUGGGACUGAGAUACGGCCCAGACUCCUACGGGAGGCAGCAGUGGGGAAUAUUGCACAAUGGGCGGAAGCCUGAUGCAGCAACGCCGCGUGCGGGAUGACGGCCUUCGGGUUGUAAACCGCUUUCGCCUGUGAUGAAGCGUGAGUGACGGUAAUGGGUAAAGAAGCACCGGCUAACUACGUG
rnacentral:rRNA from 1 species